rnacentral:rRNA from 1 species
GCCUAACACAUGCAAGUCGAGCGGUAGAGAGAAGCUUGCUUCUCUUGAGAGCGGCGGACGGGUGAGUAAUGCCUAGGAAUCUGCCUGGUAGUGGGGGAUAACGUUCGGAAACGAACGCUAAUACCGCAUACGUCCUACGGGAGAAAGCAGGGGACCUUCGGGCCUUGCGCUAUCAGAUGAGCCUAGGUCGGAUUAGCUAGUUGGUGAGGUAAUGGCUCACCAAGGCGACGAUCCGUAACUGGUCUGAGAGGAUGAUCAGUCACACUGGAACUGAGACACGGUCCAGACUCCUACGGGAGGCAGCAGUGGGGAAUAUUGGACAAUGGGCGAAAGCCUGAUCCAGCCAUGCCGCGUGUGUGAAGAAGGUCUUCGGAUUGUAAAGCACUUUAAGUUGGGAGGAAGGGCAGUUACCUAAUACGUGAUUGUUUUGACGUUACCGACAGAAUAAGCACCGGCUAACUCUGUGCCAGCAGCCGCGGUAAUACAGAGGGUGCAAGCGUUAAUCGGAAUUACUGGGCGUAAAGCGCGCGUAGGUGGUUUGUUAAGUUGGAUGUGAAAUCCCCGGGCUCAACCUGGGAACUGCAUUCAAAACUGACUGACUAGAGUAUGGUAGAGGGUGGUGGAAUUUCCUGUGUAGCGGUGAAAUGCGUAGAUAUAGGAAGGAACACCAGUGGCGAAGGCGACCACCUGGACUAAUACUGACACUGAGGUGCGAAAGCGUGGGGAGCAAACAGGAUUAGAUACCCUGGUAGUCCACGCCGUAAACGAUGUCAACUAGCCGUUGGAAGCCUUGAGCUUUUAGUGGCGCAGCUAACGCAUUAAGUUGACCGCCUGGGGAGUACGGCCGCAAGGUUAAAACUCAAAUGAAUUGACGGGGGCCCGCACAAGCGGUGGAGCAUGUGGUUUAAUU